rnacentral:lncRNA from 1 species
AGUCUCCUCUUGCAGAUCAGAUACCACCUCUGAGAUCCUUCUCUGCUCCUCAAUGACCAAACUCGAGGAACAGGUCUUCCCUGCCCAGGUCUCCAGGACCCCAACCUACCCGCUUCUAGGAGACAAUUCACACAGGUCUUGAGGAAUAGAGACUACAAACAAAUCAGGUCUUCUGUGGGAAUGCUGGGCCAUGGGCUUUGGAAUCACCACCAGUGAUGGAACCCCAAGUAAGCUACUAAACCUCAACAGGCUCAUCCAUGAAUCACCACCAGCGAUGGAACCCCAAGUGGUCCUGAAAGGAGGAGGUGCUUUGCUUCUCUUUUUCACAGAUGUCAAUUAUGGAUCAACUUCUGAGUCACAUAGAAGAGUACCACAGCUGCCUCCCCUCGCAACAAAGAGCAGGCCCUUGGCCUCGGAGCCUGGGAGAGGCCAUUUCUCACCUGAUCACUGAGGAUGUAAAGUGCUUUUCCAGACUCUAGGACUCCGGUUCAUUGCUAGUAUCAGGACGCCUCUCAUGUAUGGGAAACAUACAUGAGAGGCGUCCAGAAACAUCCAGGACAGUCAUUGACUGCUUAGGCACAGCCCUCUGAGCAGACCUAUGAAGAAACAGAAGGAUUUGUGCCUUUUAGGUAUCUC